rnacentral:rRNA from 1 species
GAUGAACGCUAGCUACAGGCUUAACACAUGCAAGUCGAGGGGUAACAAGAGAAAAGCUUGCUUUUCUUGUUGACGACCGGCGCACGGGUGAGUAGCGCGUAUCCAACCUGCCUAUAACUAGGGAAUAACCUUGCGAAAGUAAGACUAAUACCCUAUGAUUUCCUUUGAUGACAUCAGAUUAGGAAUAAAGAUUUAUCGGUUAUAGAUGGGGAUGCGUCUGAUUAGCUUGUUGGCGGGGUAACGGCCCACCAAGGCAACGAUCAGUAGGGGUUCUGAGAGGAAGGUCCCCCACAUUGGAACUGAGGCACGGUCCAAACUCCUACGGGAGGCAGCAGUGAGGAAUAUUGGUCAAUGGGCGGAAGCCUGAACCAGCCAAGUAGCGUGCAGGAUGACGGCCCUAUGGGUUGUAAACUGCUUUUAUACAGGAAUAAAGUUAGCCACGUGUGGUUAUUUGUAGGUACUGUAUGAAUAAGGACCGGCUAAUUCCGUGCCAGCCGCCGCAGUAA